GUUAUAUAAUUAAAAUGUAGAUUUAAAGGAUACAGAGAUUUUAAUGCAAAAGAAGCUAUUAUAAGAAAUGUACAAUUGGAGAAUUUAAAAAGUUUGAGAAAAUUUUCAACGGCGCAUCUACAAUCUUGUAUGGAGACAGGCAAAGAAAUGUUGAUAAAUUCUAGAGAGAGAAAAAGAGAAUGAGGAAUUUAUUAUAUAGUCAAUGAUCUAUGUGUUAUUAUAUGCCUACACAUGAGACGCACACAUUGAUCAGGCGCGCACACGUUUCUCCACGCAAAUAACUGAAAAUUGAAAAUUUUAUAUUUAAUUUAAUAUGUCGUAUGUGACUCUCUAUCGAGUGUAUAUAUAAUUAUAUUUGUUCACAUUCUUACUGAUAGUUUCUCCGCAAACUCUGGUCAUACAAAUAAUGCAGCACUUACAUAUUGAAAUUACAUAAAUUGAAAUUAAAAUUGCAAGCCUUAUAAUAUACUAGAUACAUUAUAAUUGACACAUAUCCUUAAUUGAAAUAUAAAAUAAGAAAUAUAAAUGUGUGUGAUGAAGGAAUAUAGUUGAUUAAACAAGAUGGCUUGAGAAAUUAUACGUAAAUAUAUAUACGUGUAAUUCCCUAAAAAAAAAAA